GACGAACGCUGGCGGCGCGCCUAACACAUGCAAGUCGAACGGAGCUGAGAGAAGCUUGCUUUUCUUAGCUUAGUGGCGAACGGGUGAGUAACGCGUGAGUAACCUGCCCUGGAGUGGGGGACAACAGUUGGAAACGACUGCUAAUACCGCAUAAGCCCACGAUCCGGCAUCGGAUUGAGGGAAAAGGAUUUAUUCGCUUCAGGAUGGACUCGCGUCCAAUUAGCUAGUUGGUGAGGUAACGGCCCACCAAGGCGACGAUUGGUAGCCGGACUGAGAGGUUGGGGCGGCAACGUGGGGACGGAGACCCGCCCCGGCCUCCAGCGGGAGGCGGGGGGGGGGGAUUUGGAAAAGUGGGGAAACCCUGGAGCCAGCGCGCCGGGGGGGAGGAAAAGGUUUUUGGGAUUGAAACCUCCUUUUGUAGGGGCGAAAAAGGACGGACCCAAACAAAAAAGCCCCGGAAACCCCCGUC
rnacentral:rRNA from 1 species